GACGUAGGGGGCCAGCGUUGUUCGGAAUUACUGGGUGUAAAGGGUUCGUAGGCGGUGUAGCAAGUCGGGAGUGAAAUCUCUGGGCUUAACCCAGAGGCUGCUUCCGAAACUGCUGUGCUUGAGUGUGGGAGAGGCGCGUGGAAUUGCAGGUGUAGCGGUGAAAUGCGUUGAUAUCCGAAGGAACACCCGUGGCGAAAGCGGCUCUCUGGGACGGUACUGACGCUGAGACGCGAAAGCGUGGGGAGCAAACAGG
rnacentral:rRNA from 1 species